ACGCUGGCGGCGUGCUUAAUACAUGCAAGUCAACUUGCUUUUGAUUAGCAAUAGUCAAAAGAGAGUGGCGCACGGGUGAGUAACACGUAGAUAAUCUACCCUCAGGACUGACAUAAUGUAGAGAAAUCUGCACUAAUAUCAGAUGAAACAAAAUCCUGGCAUCAGAGAUUUUGUCAAAGUUUUAACGCCUGAAGAUGAGUCUGCGGUCCAUUAGGUAGUUGGCGGUUUAACAGACCACCAAGCCGACGAUGGAUAGCUGGUCUGAGAGGAUGAUCAGCCACACUGGAACUGAGACACGGUCCAGACUCCUACGGGAGGCAGCAGUAAGGAAUAUUGCUCAAUGGGAGAAAUCCUGAAGCAGCAACGCCGCGUGGAGGAUGAAGGGCUUUCAGCUUGUAAACUCCUGUAAAGAAGGAAAAAAUUCCCAUUAGAUGGGAGAUGAUGGUACUUCUAAAGUAAGCCCCGGCUAACUACGUG
rnacentral:rRNA from 1 species